rnacentral:pre_miRNA from 1 species
CACCACCCCUGCAAUACCAAUCCAUACGACGUUUGAUUCUUCGUCUUAUUUUUUUUAAUGGUAAAUAUUCUUAUUGUUGUUAGAUGAUAAAACAUGAAUAAUACUUUAUAUAUGUCUAUUUCAUUAAAAAAAUUAUAAAUUUUUCAAAUAAAACGGAUGGUCAAACGUUGGAUACAGAAAUACAAAAAUGAACUUAAU